UACAGAGGGUGCGAGCGUUAAUCGGAAUUACUGGGCGUAAAGCGUGCGUAGACGGCUAUCUAAGUCGGGUGUGAAAGCCCCGGGCUCAACCUGGGAAUUGCAUUCGAGACUGAAUAGCUAGGGUGCGGUAGAGGGAAGCGGAAUUUCCGGUGUAGCGGUGAAAUGCGUAGAGAUGCGGAGGAACACCGAUGGCGAAGGCAGCCCCCUGGGUCGACACUGACGCUCAGGCACGAAAGCGUGGGGAGCAAACAGG
rnacentral:rRNA from 1 species